rnacentral:tRNA from 2 species
GCGGAAGUGGCGGAAUUGGUAGACGCGCGGGACUUAGGAUCCCGUGCCGCAAGGCGUGAGGGUUCGAGUCCCUCCUUUCGCA